UUUUAUGGAGAGUUUGAUCCUGGCUCAGGAUGAACGCUGGCGGCGUGCCUAAUACAUGCAAGUCGAGCGAACAGAUGAGGAGCUUGCUCCUCUGACGUUAGCGGCGGACGGGUGAGUAACACGUGGAUAACCUACCUAUAAGACUGGGAUAACUACGGGAAACCGGAGCUAAUACCGGAUAAUAUAUUGAACCGCAUGGUUCAAUAGUGAAAGACGGUUUUGCUGUCACUUAUAGAUGGAUCCGCGCCGCAUUAGCUAGUUGGUAAGGUAACGGCUUACCAAGGCAACGAUGCGUAGCCGACCUGAGAGGGUGAUCGGCCACACUGGAACUGAGACACGGUCCAGACUCCUACGGGAGGCAGCAGUAGGGAAUCUUCCGCAAUGGGCGAAAGCCUG
rnacentral:rRNA from 1 species